GCGGAAGGGUGAGUAACGCGUGAGAUCUGCCCUCAGGAGGGGGAUAACGGCUGGAAACGGCCGCUAAUACCCCAUAUGCCGAGAGGUGAAAUGAAUUUCCCCUGAGGAUGAGCCCGCGUCUGAUUAGCUAGUUGGUGGGGUAAAAGCCCACCAAGGCUUCGAUCAGUAGCUGGUCUGAGAGGAUGAUCACCCACCCUGGGACUGAGACCCGGCCCAAACUCCUACGGGAGGCAGCAGUGGGGAAUUUUCCGCAAUGGGCAAAAGCCUGACGGAGCAACCCCGCGUGAGGGAUGAAGGCCUCUGGGCUGUAAACCUCUUUUCUCAAGGAAAAAAAUCUGACGGUACUUGAGGAAUAACCCACGGCUAAUUCCGUGCCACCCCCCGCGAAAAGGAAAAGGA
rnacentral:rRNA from 1 species